rnacentral:rRNA from 1 species
UACAGAGGUCUCAAGCGUUGUUCGGAUUCAUUGGGCGUAAAGGGUGCGUAGGCGGCGCGGUAAGUCGGGUGUGAAAUCUUGGAGCUUAACUCCGAAACUGCAUUCGAUACUGCCGUGCUUGAGGACUGGAGAGGAGACUGGAAUUCCCAGUGUAGAGGUGAAAUUCGUAGAUAUUGGGAAGAACACCGGUGGCGAAGGCGGCAUCCUGGACCGGUAUUGACGCUGAGGCGCGAAAGCUAGGGGAGCAAACGGG